AAUUGCUUGAACGUGGGAGGCAGAGACUGCAGUGAGCCGGGUUGUGUCACUGCACUCCAGCCUGGGCGACAGAGCGACAGAGUGAGACUCCUUCUCAAAAAAAGAAAGACUAAAUCAAAGUAAGAAUUCACUUUGUACUUUGCUGGAAUUUUCUAUUCUGUAGUCAAUGGUGGUUUCUAGUAGUGCAGGGUAGGGAAACUCCAGAGCCCAACUAAAAUAACCACAUGUUCUGAAGUUAAUUAAAAGUAUAAAUUAGUGUUAUAAAUAGCAAGAUGUCCCAUUCAAUGGUUUUAAUUAUUUUACUUCUUUG
rnacentral:lncRNA from 10 species